AGAGUUUGAUCCUGGCUCAGGAUGAACGCUGGCGGCGUGCUAAUACAUGCAAGUCGAGCGAACCACUUCGGUGGUGAGCGGCGAACGGGUGAGUAACACGUAGGUGAUCUGCCCAUCAGACGGGGACAACGAUUGGAAACGAUCGCUAAUACCGGAUAGGACGAAAGUUUAAAGGUGCUCCUGGCACCGCUGAUGGAUGAGCCUGCGGCGCAUUAGCUAGUUGGUAGGGUAAAGGCCUACCAAGGCGACGAUGCGUAGCCGGCCUGAGAGGGUGAACGGCCACACUGGGACUGAGACACGGCCCAGACUCCUACGGGAGGCAGCAGUAGGGAAUCUUCGGCAAUGGGCGAAAGCCUGACCGAGCAACGCCGCGUGAAUGAUGAAGGCCUUCGGGUUGUAAAAUUCUGUUAUAAGGGAAGAACGACUUUAGUAGGAAAUGGCUAAAGUGUGACGGUACCUUAUGAGAAAGCCACGGCUAACUACGUGCCAGCAGCCGCGGUAAUACGUAGGUGGCAAGCGUUAUCCGGAAUUAUUGGGCGUAAAGAGCGCGCAGGUGGUUGAUUAAGUCUGAUGUGAAAGCCCACGGCUUAACCGUGGAGGGUCAUUGGAAACUGGUCGACUUGAGUGCAGAAGAGGGAAGUGGAAUUCCAUGUGUAGCGGUGAAAUGCGUAGAGAUAUGGAGGAACACCAGUGGCGAAGGCGGCUUCCUGGUCUGUAACUGACACUGAGGCGCGAAAGCGUGGGGAGCAAACAGGAUUAGAUACCCUGGUAGUCCACGCCGUAAACGAUGAGUGCUAAGUGUUGGGGGUCGAACCUCAGUGCUGAAGUUAACGCAUUAAGCACUCCGCCUGGGGAGUACGGUCGCAAGACUGAAACUCAAAUGAAUUGACGG
rnacentral:rRNA from 1 species